GCCGGCGGACCCGCAGAAAGGCCGGCUUCCCAAGCCGGACGUCGUCGGUUCGACCCCGGUCGCCGGCU
rnacentral:tRNA from 1 species